rfam:Helianthus annuus linkage group 7, whole genome shotgun sequence.
GUUACUGUGAGGAAAUUUGUAUAAAAGAACACUAUCUUUUGGGACUGAUUUACCUUUUCAAAAGGUUCUGAAUUUCUGAUGCUAUUUCUGCAAUUCUGAGC